rnacentral:rRNA from 1 species
GAUGAACGCUGGCGGCGUGCCUAAUACAUGCAAGUCGAGCGAACAGACGAGGAGCUUGCUCCUCUGACGUUAGCGGCGGACGGGUGAGUAACACGUGGAUAACCUACCUAUAAGACUGGGAUAACUUCGGGAAACCGGAGCUAAUACCGGAUAAUAUAUUGAACUGCAUGGUUCAAUAUUGAAAGAUGGUUUUGCUGUCACUUAUAGUUGGAUCCGCGCCGCAUUAGCUAGUUGGUAGGGUAACGGCUUACCAAGGCAACGAUGCGUAGCCGACCUGAGAGGGUGAUCGGCCACACGGGAACUGAGACACGCUCCAGACUCCUACGGGAGGCAGCAGUAGGGAAUCUUCCGCAAUGGGCGAAAGCCUGACGGAGCAACGCCGCGUGAGUGAUGAAGGUCUUCGGAUCGUAAAACUCUGUGAUUAGGGAAGAACAAAUGUGGAAGUAACUAUGCACGUCUUGACGGUACCUAAUCAGAAAGCCACGGCUAACUACGUG